rnacentral:rRNA from 1 species
UACAGGGGAUGCAAGCGUUAUCCGGAAUGAUUGGGCGUAAAGCGUCUGUAGGUGGUUUUGAAAGUCUAUUGUCAAAAACCAAGGCUUAACCUUGGACCGGCAAUGGAAACUUCAAGAAUAGAGUACGGUAGGGGUAGAGGGAAUUACCGGUGUAACGGUGAAAUGUGCAGAUAUCGGUAAGAACACCAACGGCGAAAGCACUCUACUGGGCCGCAACUGACACUGAGAGACGAAAGCUAGGGGAGCGGAUAGG